rnacentral:rRNA from 1 species
GACGAACGCUGGCGGCGUGCCUAAUACAUGCAAGUCGAACGAACCGCGACUAGGUGCUUGCACUUGGUCAAGGUGAGUGGCGAACGGGUGAGUAACACGUGGGUAACCUACCUCAUAGUGGGGGAUAACAGUCGGAAACGACUGCUAAUACCGCAUAGUACAUAGGCUCACAUGAUCCAGUGAGGAAAGGUGGCGCAAGCUAUCGCUAAGAGAUGGACCCGCGGUGCAUUAGCUAGUUGGUAGGGUAAAGGCCUACCAAGGCGAUGAUGCAUAGCCGACCUGAGAGGGUGAUCGGCCACAUUGGGACUGAGACACGGCCCCAACUCCUAAGGGAGGCAGCAGUAGGGAAUCUUCCGGAAUGGACGGAAGUCUGAAGGAGCAACGCCGCGGGAGUGAAGAAGGUCUUCGGAUCGGAAAGAUCUGUUGUUAGAGAAGAACAGAGCAUAGAGUAAAUGUUAUGCGUGUGACGGUAUCUAAACAGAAAGCCACGGCUAACUACGUG